rnacentral:rRNA from 1 species
AACGUAGGUUCCGAGCGUUAUCCGGAAUCACUGGGCAUAAAGCGCACGUAGGCGGUCUGUUAAGUCAGGUGUGAAAGCCCCCGGCUCAACCGGGGAACAGCAUUUGAUACUGGCAGACUCGAGGAUGGUAGGGGUGAGUGGAACUCCAGGUGGAGCGGUGAAAUGCGUAGAUAUCUGGAGGAACACCGGUGGCGAAAGCGGCUCACUGGACCAUAACUGACGCUGAGGUGCGAAAGCUAGGGUAGCAAACGGG